rnacentral:rRNA from 1 species
GAUGAACGCUGGCGGCGUGCCUAAUACAUGCAAGUCGAGCGAACAGACGAGGAGCUUGCUCCUCUGACGUUAGCGGCGGACGGGUGAGUAACACGUGGAUAACCUACCUAUAAGACUGGGAUAACUUCGGGAAACCGGAGCUAAUACCGGAUAAUAUAUUGAACCGCAUGGUUCAAUAGUGAAAGACGGUUUUGCUGUCACUUAUAGAUGGAUCCGCGCCGCAUUAGCUAGUUGGUAAGGUAACGGCUUACCAAGGCAACGAUGCGUAGCCGACCUGAGAGGGUGGUCGGCGACACUGGAACUGAGACACGGUCCAGACUCCUACGGGAGGCAGCAGUAGGGAAUCUUCCGCAAUGGGCGAAAGCCUGACGGAGCAACGCCGCGUGAGUGAUGAAGGUCUUCGGAUCGUAAAACUCUGUUAUGAGGGAAGAACAAAUGUGUAAGUAACUAUGCACGUCUUGACGGUACCUAAUCAGAAAGCCACGGCUAACUACGUG